GCAAGAUUAAAACUCAAAGGAAUAGACGGGGACCCGCACAAGCGGUGGAGCAUGUGGUUUAAUUCGACGAUACGCGAAGAACCUUACCUGGCCUUGACAUAGACAGAAUUUUCCAGAGACGGAGAAGUGCUAGUUUACUAGAACUGUCAUACAGGUGCUGCACGGCUGUCGUCAGCUCGUGUCGUGAGAUGUUGGGUUAAGUCCCGCAACGAGCGCAACCCUCGUGUUUAGUUACUAACAGUUCGGCUGAGGACUCUAAACAGACUGCCUGGGUAACCAGGAGGAAGGUGAGGACGACGUCAAGUCAUCAUGGCCCUUACGGCCAGGGCUACACACGUGCUACAAUGGGGUAUACAAAGAGCUGCAAUACGGUGACGUGGAGCAAAUCUCAUAAAAUAUCUCCCAGUUCGGAUUGAAGUCUGCAACUCGACUUCAUGAAGUUGGAAUCGCUAGUAAUCGUAGAUCAGCAAUGCUACGGUGAAUACGUUCCCGGGUCUUGUACUCACCGCCCGUCACACCAUGGGAAUUGAAUUCAUUCGAAGCGGGGAUGCUAAAAUAGCUACCUUCCACAGUGGAUUUAGUAACUAGGGUGAAGUCGUAACAAGGUA
rnacentral:rRNA from 1 species